AACUUUUAGCCAGUCGCCGCUCUUCCUUCUUUCUGCCGCCGUCCGCCGCCCUUCCUUCUCUCUUUUUCAUUUUUCUUCCUUAAGCCACUGCCACCCAAUGCUCACGGUUCCGCAACUGAUUGUUCCCACACCGCUCCGCGCCCCUUCCCACAUCAGAAAACCAUCACCCUGCAGCCACAUCGCCGCAGCGAGGGAACGACAUCGUCGUUGCCCAAAAUCGACCUCAAGUGGGUUAGACGCAGCAAAGGUUCAACGCCUACGUAGGAGGAAGACUUAGUUCGAGGGGAGUCAGAUCGUCGUUGAUUAUGAAAGGCCAAGAAAGCAGCUCCUCAGGCGAGGCUGUGACACGGAAGUGACGAGUAGGAUGCCAAAGUCAGUCACGAGGUGAUUCAAGGAUUUUUAUGUUUUUUUUUUUUUUUUGUAGUCUCAUUUUGUGGGAGUGACGUUUCCGCACUUUUGUUAUUAAUUUAAACUAUAUUGUGGAUGCCUAGUUUGUGGGAACUAGGCGGUCACAUCAGACUUCCUUUUGAUUUUAAAUUUCCUCUUUGUUUUAAAUAACUUUAGGCGGCAUUGUUUUUUU